rnacentral:lncRNA from 1 species
CGAACUUUCAGUGCUUCCAAAAGCAGGGGCAGAGGGCAACUGCUGAGGGGGGCAUUGUAUAGCCUAACCUUCCCAGAAUUUGAUUUAAAAGUAUGAUCUUCACAGCGUUGGCCAGCAAUAUCAUGGUCACUCCCUACGUCAUUCCCUGGGAGAAAAACAACCCUAGGUUACCUAAACAAUGUUGGCGAAGACCAAAUAUUUAUUAACAUCCUAAGCAGCCCCAUAAUCAAGCCAAUGCUGAUAGGGACAAAGAAGGUGCCAUGUGCAGUUUUUCUCCAUGUCCCCACAAUAUCUGCUCUGAAUUUUAAAAGGCAAUUACUGGGGGAGAAGGAAGCCUAUAUAUUAUGUAGGAUCCAAGUCUCAAACUGCUUUCCUAGGGAGUGUGAGAUUCUUGGAGAUUAAGUGCAGUACCUUUCUGUCUUGAGCCUUGUAGGCUGCCCCUCUAAUUUAAUGCCAGUCUUGAAAUAAACAGAAUGCUUUCCAAGUCAUCGCUAAUUUUAACACUUUAAAUUUAGAAUUGCUUAGAAUUGACUCAACACUGCCUCCUUGCUGAAUGGAUAAUUCAAGCAAACAACUCAAGAGCUGGAUGCUGCCCAGACAGGUAGGCAGCCAGAUAAAGUGAGUGUCCAGGGAAAGAGCAGUAAGGGUCAGAAGAGAAAGAGGCUGGUGUUCUCACUGCCUCCUGCCUUCCUUAUGACUGUCUGUUCAGAAGUCCUCCUAGCAUCUUUCUUCUGCCUUCCCCUGCUCCUGUCCCUGAAACCUUUUCUUCAAAAGAAGUGGAAAAGAGGAACUGGGAACCCAUAUAGCAACAGCAUCACCUGGAAUGAAUUCCUUUAGAACAUACUGUCUUGGAAAUCUGAAGCCUGCAGGGCUGGACAGGCAAGAAGAGCAGUGAGCACUGCAUGAACCUUUCUCUCCUUCCCUCCCUUACGUAUGACUCCUCCCAUAAUCCGCACACAUGGACUGAACCAAGUGAGGGUAUUUUUCUGUUUCCUACCUCAUAGAAGGGCAUAGAGUGGACACGGUCUAAGGUUAGUUCCUGAACUAAGUACCCACAUAUGCAGAACUUUAUUUAAAGCUGCUGAAAUCUUUGUAUAACAGAUAGAUCAAUAGGACUGAAAACUACUGAUGGUUUUACUUACUUGUUGAACGUGACUAAAUUCCAUGGCACCAUUUAGAAAUUGUGUUGUAUAGUUUUCGUAUGUUGCUUAAGAAACAGUUUGGCAUAAUGGUUAAAAG